rnacentral:rRNA from 1 species
CAGCCGCCACGGGAAUACGUAGGUGGCAAGCGUUGUCCGGAAUUAUUGGGCGUAAAGGGCUUGCAGGCGGUUUCUUAAGUCUGAUGUGAGAGCCCCCGGCUCAACCGGGGAGGGUCAUUGGAAACUGGGAAACUUGAGUGCAGAAGAGGAGAGUGGAAUCCCACGUGUAGCGGUGAAAUGCGUAGAGAUGUGGAGGAACACCAGUGGCGAAGGCGACUCUCUGGUCUGUAACUGACGCUGAGGAGCGAAAGCGUGGGGAGCGAACAGGAUUAGAUACCCGCGUAGUCCCUGUCUCUUAUAC